rnacentral:rRNA from 1 species
ACGCUGGCGGCGUGCCUAAUACAUGCAAGUCGAACGCACAGCGAAAGGUGCUUGCACCUUCCAAGUGAGUGGCGAACGGGUGAGUAACACGUGGACAACCUGCCUCAAGGCUGGGGAUAACAUUUGGAAACAGAUGCUAAUACCGAAUAAAACUUAGUGUCGCAUGACACAAAGUUAAAAGGCGCUUCGGCGUCACCUAGAGAUGGAUCCGCGGUGCAUUAGUUAGUUGGUGGGGUAAAGGCCUACCAAGACAAUGAUGCAUAGCCGAGUUGAGAGACUGAUCGGCCACAUUGGGACUGAGACACGGCCCAAACUCCUACGGGAGGCUGCAGUAGGGAAUCUUCCACAAUGGGCGAAAGCCUGAUGGAGCAACGCCGCGUGUGUGAUGAAGGCUUUCGGGUCGUAAAGCACUGUUGUAUGGGAAGAACAGCUAGAAUAGGAAAUGAUUUUAGUUUGACGGUACCAUACCAGAAAGGGACGGCUAAAUACGUGCCAGCAGCCGCGGUAAUACGUAUGUCCCGAGCGUUAUCCGGAUUUAUUGGGCGUAAAGCGAGCGCAGACGGUUUAUUAAGUCUGAUGUGAAAGCCCGGAGCUCAACUCCGGAAUGGCAUUGGAAACUGGUUAACUUGAGUGCAGUAGAGGUAAGUGGAACUCCAUGUGUAGCGGUGGAAUGCGUAGAUAUAUGGAAGAACACCAGUGGCGAAGGCGGCUUACUGGACUGCAACUGACGUUGAGGCUCGAAAGUGUGGGUAGCAAAC